GCAUAUCAAUAAGCGCAGGAAAAGAAACCAACAGGGAUUGCCUCAGUAACGGCGAGUGAAGCGGCAACAGCUCAAAUUUGAAAUCUGGCCUCUCGGGGUCCGAGUUGUAAUUUGUAGAGGAUGUUUUGGGUACCGCCCCGGUUUAAAUUUCUUGGAACAGAAUGUCAGAGAGGGUGAGAAUCCCGUCUUGGACCGGCGGUAGGGCCUGUGUAAAACUCCUUCGACGAGUCGAGUUGUUUGGGAAUGCAGCUCAAAAUGGGUGGUAAAUUUCAUCUAAAGCUAAAUAUUGGCCAGAGACCGAUAGCGCACAAGUAGAGUGAUCGAAAGAUGAAAAGAACUUUGAAAAGAGAGUUAAACAGUAUGUGAAAUUGUUGAAAGGGAAGCGCUUGCAACCAGACUUGAGCGCGACGGUUCCCCUAGCCUUUUGGCUAGGUUACUCCGUCGUGUCCAGGCCAACAUCGGUUCUGAGGGUCGGUCAAAGGCCCCGGGAAUGUACCUACCCACGGGUAGACUUAUAGACCGGGGUGUCAUGCGGCCUCUCGGGACCGAGGAACGCGCUUCGGCUCGGAUGUUGGCGUAAUGGUUGUCAGCGACCCGUCUUGAAACACGGACC
rnacentral:rRNA from 1 species